CGGGUGAGUAAUGCUUGGGAAUCUGGCUUAUGGAGGGGGAUAACUACGGGAAACUGUAGCUAAUACCGCGUAGUGUCGAGAGACGAAAGUGCGGGACCGAAAGGCCGCAUGCCAUGAGAUGAGCCCAAGUGGGAUUAGGUAGUUGGUGGGGUAAAGGCCUACCAAGCCUGCGAUCUCUAGCUGGUCUGAGAGGAUGGCCAGCCACACUGGAACUGAGACGCGGUCCAG
rnacentral:rRNA from 1 species